rnacentral:lncRNA from 1 species
CUUCCGUAAAUGUUUUAUUGAUUUUUAGUCAACGAGUAACAAAUAUUGCAUACAUGAAAUCAUAUGUUUAAGCGUACUUUACAAGUGAAGUUUACAUUCUGGACACUGCCUCCUUUCAUUGUGUUAUUUGUGGAAAUUCAGCAUCAUAAAUUUGUAAAGUAGAAAAUACAAACGUUCGAUAAAAAUUGAGUCUUGUAGUUCCCUUUUUUAUACUGCACUUGAAACACUUAAUACUGUUGUUUUUAUCUAUCAAACGGUUAGUGCAAUUUUGAUUUCAUGUCAAGUCACGUUUUUUUCACAAUCUGGGGUUCGUUUAGUGAUAGAAAAUAAGGGUUAUUUGUAUACAUAAUAAUUAUUGAAAAACUUGACAUCACUCAAAACAGAGAACCCAUGCCCCACUGGUUAUUAACAGUUAGUUAUAGCCUUUUCUGGUCCGUUUUUUUUUAAUGUAAAGACCGAUGGAAUUUAUCACAGACUGAAGAAUAAAGAAUGUUAUGUGGCCGCUUGUUAUACAAUAAGAGAAGCGUAUUCUUAACCGAUAUGAAAUAAAAGAAUUGUAACAAUUGAAAAGAUGCAAUAUCAAAUCAGUAUGGAGAUCUGGGGGAAGUUAAGACGGAAACCAAUCGGCAAUCCUCGGCUGACUCCGCUAAUCUCCUAGAUGAGGUACGGAAUCGGCCGAGUUGUGACGAAUGGACGGAAACAUUUCAAUUUACUUCUCUUGUUUCUCAGCUUCAUAAAAAAGUAAAUUUAUUUUAACAUUGGCCUUAUUUCAUUUCAUAUAUAUGCAUGUGACACUAGUGCAUGGCAAAAUACAAAGUAGGAAAAAUGCAAGAAAAGGCGUCAUAUAUCCUGUCAGGCAACAAACUUGAACGUGAAUAAACAAAUAUCAUGAUGCAUGGUCAGAUGGCGGUCAUUGUGAAAUUGUUUAAGGUCAUUUCGGACACUCAAAUGUCAAUGUUCAAAUAUGCAUUAUAUUGAUUUCCUUUCAUUUCGCUAGUUUCUUCCGGACCCAUAUUGGACAUGCU